rnacentral:rRNA from 1 species
AGUGAGGAAUAUUGCGCAAUGGGGGCAACCCUGACGCAGCCAUGCCGCGUGAAUGAAGAAGGCCUUAGGGUUGUAAAAUUCUUUCAGAUGCGAAGAUAAUGACGGUAACAUCAGAAGAAGCUCCGGCUAAAUUCGUGCCAGCAGCCGCGGUAAUACGAAUGGAGCGAGCGUUGUUCGGAAUCAUUGGGCGUAAAGCGUAUGUAGGUGGAACAGAAAGUCAGAAGUGAAAUCCCGAGGCUCAACCUCGGAAUUGCUUUUGAAACUUCUGUUCUAGAGUCCCGGAGGGGUAAGGGGAAUUCCGAGUGUAGAGGUGAAAUUCGCAGAUAUUCGGAGGAACACCAGUGGCGUAGGCGCCUUACUGGACGGGAACUGACACUGAGAUACGAAAGCGUGGGUAGCAAACAGGAUUAGAUACCCUGGUAGUCCACGCCGUAAACGAUGUGUGCUAGUUGUCGGGUCCAUAGGAUUCGGUGACGCAGCUAACGCACUAAGCACACCGCCUGGGGAGUACGGUCGCAAGAUUAAAACUCAAAGGAAUUGACGGGGACCCGCACAAGCGGUGGAGCAUGUUGUUUAAUUCGAAGCAACGCGAAGAACCUUACCUACACUUGACAUACUCGUCGGGGAUUACAGAGAUGUUUUCCUUCGGUUCGGCCGGACGAUGUACAGGUGCUGCACGGCUGUCGUCAGCUCGUGUCGUGAGAUGUUUGGUUAAGUCCAGCAACGAGCGCAACCCCUAUCGUAUGUUGCCAGCAUUUAGUUGGGCACUCAUGCGAGACUGCCGGUGUUAAGCCGGAGGAAGGUGGGGACGACGUCAAGUCAUCAUGGCCCUUACGUGUAGGGCUACAAACGUGCUACAAUGGAUACUACAGUGGGCAGCGACAUCGCGAGGUGAAGCUAAUCCCUAAAAGUAUUCUCAGUUCGGAUAGGACUCUGCAACUCGAGUCCUUGAAGUCGGAAUCGCUAGUAAUCGUGGAUCAGCAUGCCACGGUGAAUACGU